UUUCCGUAGGUGAACCUGCGGAAGGAUCAUUGUCGAAACCUACAGAGGCAGAACGACCCGUGGAUUGGUAAAGAACUGAAGCGGGAGGCAGGCCUUGGGGCAUGUCGACCGAGUUCCAAGGCGAGGGCGGUGGGUAAACUCCCCCACCUCUGCCAUGGGCAACAACAACAAACCCCGGCGCAGAUCGCGCCAAGGAAGCAGAACAAAGAUGCGUGCCCCCCGGCUCCCGAAAAUGGUGCCUCCGUGGGGUGCGUCGUCGUUAUCAUAUUUGAAACGACUCUCGGCAACGGAUAUCUCGGCUCUCGCAUCGAUGAAGAACGUAGCGAAAUGCGAUACUUGGUGUGAAUUGCAGAAUCCCGUGAACCAUCGAGUCUUUGAACGCAAGUUGCGCCCGAAGCCGUCAGGCCGAGGGCACGCCUGCCUGGGUGUCACAAAAACGUUGCCAAAUCCCCUCGCUCCCCCCUUUCGAAGGGGACGACGAGGGCUGGCGGACAUUGGCCUCCCGUGAUCUCGCGAUUGCGGUUGGCCCAAAAGAGAGUCCCCGGCGAGGCGUCCACGACACGCGGUGGUUGGAAGCGGAUGCUCCUUGAGCCCAGUCGUGGUGCCUCACCAAUCGGGAGUCGAAGACCCGGAUGCGUAGCGUCCUUCACAGAGCGACCCCAGGUCAGGCGGGAACACCCGCUGAGUUUAAG
rnacentral:rRNA from 1 species